rnacentral:rRNA from 1 species
UAGAGUUUGAUCCUGGCUCAGGAUGAACGCUGGCGGUAUGCUUAACACAUGCAAGUCGAACGGUCUCUUCGGAGAUAGUGGCGGACGGGUGAGUAACGCGUGAGAAUCUGGCUUCAGGUCGGGGACAACCACGGGAAACUGUGGCUAAUACCGGAUAUGCCGAGAGGUGAAAGGCUUGCUGCCUGAAGAUGAGCUCGCGUCUGAUUAGCUAGUAGGUGUGGUAAAAGCGCACCUAGGCGACGAUCAGUAGCUGGUCUGAGAGGAUGAUCAGCCACACUGGGACUGAGACACGGCCCAGACUCCUACGGGAGGCAGCAGUGGGGAAUUUUCCGCAAUGGGCGAAAGCCUGACGGAGCAAUACCGCGUGAGGGAGGAAGGCUCUUGGGUUGUAAACCUCUUUUCUCAGGGAAGAAAAAAAUGACGGUACUUGAGGAAUAAGCAUCGGCUAACUCCGUGCCAGCAGCCGCGGUAAUACGGAGGAUGCAAGCGUUAUCCGGAAUGAUUGGGCGUAAAGGGUCCGCAGGUGGCUAUGUAAGUCUGCUGUUAAAGAACCUAGCUUAACUAGGUAAAAGCAGUGGAAACUACAAGGCUAGAGUGCGUUCGGGGUAGAGGGAAUUCCUGGUGUAGCGGUGAAAUGCGUAGAUAUCAGGAAGAACACCAGUGGCGAAGGCGCUCUACUAGGCCGCAACUGACACUGAGGGACGAAA